rnacentral:lncRNA from 1 species
CUCCGUAUAACUAAUCAAAGUUAGUAGCCGCGUUGUACGACCAUGGACUCCCUAUUGACUAUACAUGUCCUUUUGCCUCUUUUCUUGGAAUCCAGCUAUUUUCAUUAAUUUAUGUACUUAGCCAUCGUUAGGUCAAUGUUCAUUCUAAUCAAUACCCAGUUGAACUUACAAUCAGACUGGCCAUGGCUGGCCUACACAUUUUUAAUGAUUGUUUAUCAAUGACCUUUUCGCCGCCGAACAAGCAAACACCCAUUCCUUCUUCAACAGACCCACCAAACAAGUCUAGCUUUUGGUAAAACCAACAGGACAAUGUACAAGAAUUUUACUUUAUUUUUACCUGUAAGAUGAACAAUUAAGUAUCAACGUAAACAGGUUAAAAUUGCAUGGAUAAUGUAAAUAGAAAAAAAAAUCUUUGACACAUCUAUUUUGAAUAUGAAUCGCGGGCGAUGCCUGCAGUUUCUUCACUCAACUGUCAAUAUAUCAUACCUUAAAGUGAUGUUAUCUUUUCAUCA